CCCAGUUGUAGGCAACUGCCUAGGUUGCCUUAUACCUAGGCAAGUAUUAUAUUGCUGGGAGAUAAGUAGCUAAUAGCUGGUGGGCAUCCGGUGCCUGGUUACAGUUAAUGCCAAAUUUGUGUUAACUACACCAAUGUGCCAGCAUAGUUACACAUUGGUGUAGUUAACACAAAUUUGGCAUUAACUGA
rnacentral:snoRNA from 1 species